AUUUCUAGUAUGAGAAAUUAACGAUUUAAGUCCUUCUUAAAUGAGGCCAUUUACCCAUAGAGGGCUGCCAGGCCCGUAUAACGUUAAUGAUUACUAGAUGGCAUUUCCAAAGAGUCGUGUUGCUUGAUAGUGCAGCACUAAGUGGGUGGUAAACUCCAUCUAAAACUAAAUAUAACCAUGAGACCGAUAGUAAACAAGUACCGUGAGGGAAAGUUGAAAAGAACUCUGAAUAGAGAGUUAAAUAGUACGUGAAACUGCUUAGAGGUUAAGCCCGAUGAACCUGAAUAUCCAUUAUAGAAAAUUCAUCAUUAUGAUUUUAAUAUUAAUAAUAUUAUAAUAAUGGUGUGCAUUUUUUCUAUAACGGACAUUGUAAUCUAUUAACAUAAAUAUAUUUAUCAUAAGAUCAAUGAUGCGUAAGUUUAUUCAAAUUAUUUUGCUUGCAAUUUAACAUAGAAUAAAUGCUCUUGAUUUGAUAAAGUGUUGAUAGAUUUAUUGUAUAUAGUGCUUAAAUAUUUAUAUUUUAUAAUAGCAUAUUAAUCAUUGAUUUUUAUGUUUAUUAUAUGCACUUAUAUGAUUAACAAUGCGAAAGAUUCAGGAUACCUUCGGGACCCGUCUUGAAACACGGACCAAGGAGUCUAACAUAUUUGCAAGUUAUUGGGUAUCAAAACCUAAUAGCGAAAUUAACAUAACUUUAAUGGGAUUAGUUUUUAGAUUAUUUAUAGUCUAUUAAUUCAAUCCCGGGGCGUUCUAUAUAGUUAUGUAUAAUAAUAUUUAUAUUAUUUAUACCUCUAACUAGAGCGUACCUUGAGCAUAUAUGCUGUGACCCGAAAGAUGGUGAACUAUACUUGAUCAGGU
rnacentral:rRNA from 1 species